rnacentral:rRNA from 1 species
GACGAACGCUGGCGGCGUGCUUAACACAUGCAAGUCGAACGGAAAGGCCUCUUUCGGGGGGUACUCGAGUGGCGAACGGGUGAGUAACACGUGAGUAACCUGCCCUUGUCUUUGGGAUAACUUCAGGAAACUGGGGCUAAUACCGGAUAGGAGCUCCUGCUGCAUGGUGGGGGUUGGAAAGUUUCGGCGGUUGGGGAUGGACUCGCGGCUUAUCAGCUUGUUGGUGGGGUAGUGGCUUACCAAGGCUUUGACGGGUAGCCGGCCUGAGAGGGUGACCGGCCACAUUGGGACUGAGAUACGGCCCAGACUCCUACGGGAGGCAGCAGUGGGGAAUAUUGCACAAUGGGUGGAAGCCUGAUGCAGCAACGCCGUGUGCGGGAUGACGGCCUUCGGGUUGGAAACCGCUUUCGCUCAUGACGAAGCUUUGUGUGACGGUAGUGGGUAAAGAAGCACCGGCUAACUACGCG